rnacentral:snRNA from 1 species
ACUCGACAAAGUGAAGGG